UACGUAGGAUGCAAGCGUUGUCCGGAAUUACUGGGCGUAAAGGGCGAGCAGGUGGCACUACAAGUCUGAUGUAAAAUCUCCCGGCUUAACUGGGAGGGGCCAUUGGAAACUGUAGAGCUGGAGUGCAGGAGAGGCUAACGGAAUUCCCGGUGUAGUGGUGAAAUGCGUAGAGAUCAGGAAGAACAUCGGUGGCGAAGGCGCUCUGCUGGACCAUAACUGACACUCAGGGACGAAAGCUAGGGGAGCGAAUGGG
rnacentral:rRNA from 1 species